rnacentral:lncRNA from 1 species
UUUGAACUGAAAAGCUUUGAAACUCAAAACUCGUAUCUCUAUUUUCAAUGGUGGAACUCGAGUUUUCAGCAAGAUUAUUAUAGCUUUCUAAGCUUGGUUUUUGAGUGGAACACCUUCCCCUAUUUAUAGGGAAGCUGAUGGAGUGGUUUGGAGGGAGAAAGGAAGUGGUUUGCUUAGAAAAGACAUGUGGUCUGAAGCAUGCUUGUGGGUGGAUUUUUGGGGAUUUGAAUUGGCAUGUUCUUAGCUAGUUUGCUUCACCAACCAACUGGUUUUGG